rnacentral:rRNA from 1 species
GAUGAACGCUAGCUACAGGCUUAACACAUGCAAGUCGAGGGGGAAACGACAUCGAAAGCUUGCUUUUGAUGGGCGUCGACCGGCGCACGGGUGAGUAACGCGUAUCCAACCUGCCCACCACUUGGGGAUAACCUUGCGAAAGUAAGACUAAUACCCAAUGAUAUCCCACGAAGGCAUCCGAAUGGGAUUAAAGAUUUAUCGGUGAUGGAUGGGGAUGCGUCUGAUUAGCUAGUUGGUGGGGCAACGGCCUACCAAGGCGACGAUCAGUAGCCGGUCUGAGAGGAUGAACGGCCACAUUGGAACUGAGACACGGUCCAGGACUCCUACGGGAGGCAGCAGUGGGGAAUCUUCCGCAA